rnacentral:pre_miRNA from 1 species
UUCGGCUAUCUGGGCGACUGUGUUCUCCUUCGCUUUCUGGGCUAUUUAUAUUACUAGAAGUAUAUCUGACGCUUGAGGGUGGUAGCCAGCGCCGCCACCCUCAAGCGUCAGAUAUACUUCUAGUAAAUAUAAAUAGCCCAGAAAGUGAAGGAGAACACAGUCGCCCAGAUAGCCGA